GCGAGUAUGGCCCUCACGGGUCUAAUCCACCAUAAACACCUUUGUGAACCAGUCAGGGGGACUCGGCCGUGAAAGCCCAGGCGAUUAGCGGAAGGGCCCCCCUUUGCAAACCCGUUUAGAAGUCUUGAAAGUACUUUUGUAUAAUCUAGUA
rnacentral:misc_RNA from 1 species